rnacentral:rRNA from 1 species
CCUACGGGAGGCAGCAGUGGGGAAUAUUGCGCAAUGGGGGAAACCCUGAUGCAGCGACGCCGCGUGAAGGAAGAAGGAUUUCGGUAUGUAAACUUCUAUCAGCAGGGAAGAAAAUGACGGUGACUGACUAAGAAGCCCCGGCUAACUACGUGCCAGCAGCCGCGGUACUACGUAGGGGGCAAGCGUUAUUCGGAUUUACUGGGUGUAAAGGGAGCGUAGGCGGUUUAGCAAGUCAGAAGUGAAAGCCCGGGGCUCAACUCCGGGACUGCUUUUGAAACUGUUGAACUAGAUUGCAGGAGAGGUAAGUGGAAUUCCUUGUGUAGCGGUGAAAUGCGUAGAUAUUAGGAGGAACACCAGUGGCGAAGGCGGCUCACUGGACUGUAAAUGACGCUGAGGCUCGAAAGCGUGGGGAGCAAACAGGAUUAGAUACCCCAGUAGUC